GACGAACGUUGGCGGCGUGCCUAAUACAUGCAAGUUGAGCGCUGAAGGUUGGUACUUGUACCGACUGGAUGAGCAGCGAACGGGUGAGUAACGCGUGGGGAAUCUGCCUUUGAGCGGGGGACAACAUUUGGAAACGAAUGCUAAUACCGCAUAAAAACUUUAAACACAAGUUUUAAGUUUGAAAGAUGCAAUUGCAUCACUCAAAGAUGAUCCCGCGUUGUAUUAGCUAGUUGGUGAGGUAAAGGCUCACCAAGGCGAUGAUACAUAGCCGACCUGAGAGGGUGAUCGGCCACAUUGGGACUGAGACACGGCCCAAACUCCUACGAGAGGCAGCAGUAGGGAAUCUUCAGCAAUGGACGAAAGUCUGACCGAGCAACGCCGCGUGAGUGAAGAAGGUUUUCGGAUCGUAAAACUCUGUUGGUAGAGAAGAACGUUGGUGAGAGUGGAAAGCUCAUCAAGUGACGGUAACUACCCAGAAAGGGACGGCUAACUACGUG
rnacentral:rRNA from 1 species